rnacentral:tRNA from 1 species
GCUGGGAUGGCAGAUCGGCCAUGCGCGGGCCUGCAGAGCCCGAAAGGGGAGUUCGACUCUCCCUCCCAGCU